GUUGAUAUAGGUUAAUCGAUAAACUGUAGAGUUUAUUCCUCUAAGUUGCAGCUUGCUGCUGCUAUUAAUG
rnacentral:tRNA from 1 species